AACGAACGCUGGCGGCAUGCCUAACACAUGCAAGUCGAACGAGACCUUCGGGGCUAGUGGCGCACGGGUGCGUAACGCGGGGGAACCUGCCCUUAGGUUCGGAAUAACUCGCCGAAAGGGGUGCUAAUACCGGAUAAUGUCAUCGGACCAAAGAUUUAUCGCCUUUGGAUGGGCCCGCGUUGGAUUAGCUAGUUGGUAGGGUAAAAGCCUACCAAGGCGACGAUCCAUAGCUGGUCUGAGAGGAUGAUCAGCCACACUGGGACUGAGACCCGGCCCAGACUCCUACGGGAGGCAGCAGUGGGGAAUAUUGGACAAUGGGCGAAAGCCUGAUCCAGCACUGCCGCGUGAGUGAUGAAGGCCUUAGGGGUGUAAAGCUCUUUUACCCGGGAUGAUAAUGACCGUACCGGGAGAAUGAGCCCCGGCUAACUCCGUG
rnacentral:rRNA from 1 species